CCAGACUCCUACGGGAGGCAGCAGUGAGGAAUAUUGGUCAAUGGCCGUAAGGCUGAACCAGCCAAGUAGCGUGAGGGAAGACUGCCCUAUGGGUUGUAAACCUCUUUUAUGCGGGGAUAAAGGUGUCCACGUGUGGAUGUUUGCAGGUACCGCAUGAAUAAGGACCGGCUAAUUCCGUGCCAGCAGCCGCGGUAAUACGGAAGGUCCGGGCGUUAUCCGGAUUUAUUGGGUUUAAAGGGUGCGCAGGCGGAAGAUAAAGUCAGCGGUAAAAUGGAGAGGCUCAACCUCUUCGAGCCGUUGAAACUGGUUUUCUUGAGUGAGCGAGAAGUAUGCGGAAUGCGUGGUGUAGCGGUGAAAUGCAUAGAUAUCACGCAGAACUCCGAUUGCGAAGGCAGCAUACCGGCGCCCAACUGACGCUGAAGCACGAAAGCGUGGGUAUCGAACAGGAUUAGAUACCCCCGUA
rnacentral:rRNA from 1 species